rnacentral:rRNA from 1 species
GCUACACAUGCAGUCGAGCGAGAUCUUCGGAUCUAGCGGCGGACGGGUUAGUAACGCGUGGGAAUAUACCCUUUGGUACGGAAUAGCCUCGGGAAACUGGGAGUAAUACCGUAUGAGCCCUUCGGGGGAAAGAUUUAUCGCCAAAGGAUUAGCCCGCGUUGGAUUAGAUAGUUGGUGGGGUAAUGGCCUACCANGUCGACGAUCCAUAGCUGGUUUGAGAGGAUGAUCAGCAACACUGGGACUGAGACACGGCCCAGACUCCUACGGGAGGCAGCAGUGGGGAAUCUUAGACAAUGGGCGCAAGCCUGAUCUAGCCAUGCCGCGUGGACGAUGAAGGCCUUAGGGUUGUAAAGUCCUUUCAGCUGGGAAGAUAAUGACGGUACCAGCAGAAGAAGCCCCGGCUAACUCCGUGCCAGCAGCCGCGGUAAUACGGAGGGGGCUAGCGUUGUUCGGAAUUACUGGGCGUAAAGCGCACGUAGGCGGAUUAUUAAGUGAGGGGUGAAAUCCCAGGGCUCAACCCUGGAACUGCCUCUCAUACUGUAGUCUUGAGUUCGAGAGAGGUGAGUGAAUCCGAGUGUAGAGGUGAAAUUCGUAGAU